CUAAUUCAUGUUUGUGCGCAAUGGCCGAUGUUCACGCCACGGAGAGAUUAUCAGCAGACUGUGCACGUGCUGCGAUCGCAAUGUGCAUGCAUCAAGCUACUACUGCGAUCCCGCUCGCAAUGAGGAUUUCAUGGAGAGGCCCAGGACUCCAGUUCCGGCAGUCCCCCCCUGAUGGCGGCCCUGGAUGGGAGUGUGAUCUCAUUAUAUGAGAGCUUUGCAUGGAGACAGGAAUAAAAGAUCUGAAAAUCAAUUUGCUGGAAAAUAUUGGUCGAGACCGUUAAGUAUUAGGAAUAAUUAAAGGAACGGGACUGUGGAAGAUUGGCUGCUCUUUGUGAUCUAGAAGUGUUUUCCAGCCUUAUUUAGGGCAUAUAAUUAUGAUGCUAAUGGCAAACAAAUGAUGUCAUUGCAGCGUUGCGCUCUGUUAAUGUGCAAACAGCAUCAGUGACCUCAUUCAUUCACAAUGACUGCAAUCCCUACUAAUGCCUUCGCACUGCACUUAGUAAAUGAACCUUUGCGU